GGCUUUAUAUUCAAUUAUGAUUUUAGACUGCAAUUCUAGGGGUGUAAAUAAAUUUACUAAGGCCU
rnacentral:tRNA from 1 species